rnacentral:rRNA from 1 species
GAUGAACGCUGGCGGCGUGCUUAACACAUGCAAGUCGAACGGAAAGGCCCAAGCUUGCUUGGGUACUCGAGUGGCGAACGGGUGAGUAACACGUGGGUGAUCUGCCCUGCACUUCGGGAUAAGCCUGGGAAACUGGGUCUAAUACCGGAUAGGACCACAUUUUGGAUGGUGUGGUGGAAAGUUUUUCGGUGUGGGAUGAGCUCGCGGCCUAUCAGCUUGUUGGUGGGGUAAUGGCCUACCAAGGCGUCGACGGGUAGCCGGCCUGAGAGGGUGUACGGCCACAUUGGGACUGAGAUACGGCCCAGACUCCUACGGGAGGCAGCAGUGGGGAAUAUUGCACAAUGGGCGCAAGCCUGAUGCAGCGACGCCGCGUGGGGGAUGACGGCCUUCGGGUUGUAAACUCCUUUCGCUAGGGACGAAGCGAUUUUGUGACGGUACCUGGAGAAGAAGCACCGGCUAACUACGUG